GGGUCUGUAGCUCAACCUGGGAGAGCACACGACUGAAGCUCGUGAUGUCGGCGGUUCAAAUCCGCCCAGGCCCA
rnacentral:tRNA from 1 species